rnacentral:rRNA from 1 species
AGAGUUUGAUCCUGGCUCAGAACGAACGCUGGCGGCGUGCCUAACACAUGCAAGUCGAGCGAGAAAGCCCGCAAGGGUGAGUAAAGCGGCGCACGGGUGCGUAACACGUGGGUAAUCUGCCCUAGAGUCUGGAAUAACUCGCCGAAAGGCGUGCUAAUGCCGGAUGAGACCACGGGAGCUCAGGCUCUCGCGGGAAAAGGUGGCCUCUGUAUACAAGCUAUCGCUCUAGGAUGAGCCCGCGGCCCAUCAGCUCGUUGGCGGGGUAAUGGCCCACCAAGGCUACGACGGGUAGCUGGUCUGAGAGGACGAUCAGCCACACUGGAACUGAGACACGGUCCAGACUCCUACGGGAGGCAGCAGUGGGGAAUCUUGCGCAAUGGGCGAAAGCCUGACGCAGCAACGCCGCGUGUGUGAUGAAGGUCUUCGGAUCGUAAAGCACUGUCGCGAGGGACGAAUAAGGGUCGGGCUAACAUCCCGGUCCGAUGACGGUACCUCGAGAGGAAGCACCGGCUAACUCUGUGCCAGCAGCCGCGGUAAUACAGAGGGUGCAAGCGUUGUUCGGAAUUAUUGGGCGUAAAGCGCGUGUAGGCGGCUUAGUAAGUUGGGUGUGAAAGCCCUCGGCUUAACCGAGGAAGUGCGCCCAAAACUGCUUCGCUUGAGUACCGGAGAGGGUGGCGGAAUUCCCGGUGUAGAGGUGAAAUUCGUAGAUAUCGGGAGGAACACCAGUGGCGAAGGCGGCCACCUGGACGGCUACUGACGCUGAGACGCGAAAGCGUGGGGAGCAAACAGGAUUAGAUACCCUGGUAGUCCACGCUGUAAACGAUGAGCGCUAGGUGUUGUGGGUGUUGACCCCCGCAGUGCCGCAGCUAACGCAUUAAGCGCUCCGCCUGGGAAGUACGGCCGCAAGGCUAAAACUCAAAGGAAUUGAUGG